rnacentral:rRNA from 1 species
UACACUCCUACGGGAGGCAGCAGUAGGGAAUCUUCCACAAUGGGUGCAAACCUGAUGGAGCAAUGCCGCGUGAGUGAAGAAGGUCUUCGGAUCGUAAAGCUCUGUUGUUAGAGAAGAACACGUGCUAGGUAACUACUAGCGCCUUGACGGUAUCUAACCAGAAAGUCACGGCUAACUACGUGCCAGCAGCCGCGGUAAUACGUAGGUGACAAGCGUUGUCCGGAUUUAUUGGGCGUAAAGGGAGCGCAGGCGGUCUGUUUAGUCUAAUGUGAAAGCCCACGGCUUAACCGUGGAACGGCAUUGGAAACUGACAGACUUGAAUGUAGAAGAGGAAAAUGGAAUUCCAAGUGUAGCGGUGGAAUGCGUAGAUAUUUGGAGGAACACCAGUGGCGAAGGCGAUUUUCUGGUCUAACAUUGACGCUGAGGCUCGAAAGCGUGGGGAGCGAACAGGAUUAGAAACCCGGGUAGUCCC